ensembl:lncRNA
CUCCAUCUUCCUCCAGACAACUUGUCAGGGGGCAGAUAAAAUUAGUGAAAUGUUAAAAUCUUCUAUUAAACAGAUGGCUAGUUAGCGGUAAACGUGCAUCUACAUGGGUCACUUCGUCACUCCGGCAAGUACAGAUGUUACUGGAAUGCAAACAGCAGUCCUCCGUGACCUUCCUGUGAUCCUUGGAGAUGAGAACACAGACUUCUUUAAGACAUGCUUUGACUCUCGAGACAUGUCUCACACCUCCAUGGGGAUCCUGACAGUGAUUGCCGAAGACGGUGCCGCCUUUCUUCACUCACUGCACCUUGAAUCCACAACUACUGCCGUCAUUUUGGAAAAAACACUGGUGAUACAUUUCCCAUCAAAAUCUGCCACAUCCCAUGUGCCUGCUACCCUCAGACACCGAGGAACAUCUUAGGGUUUGUUCAAAGAGUGCUUCUCUCACU